rnacentral:rRNA from 1 species
GUGAACGUGGGGCCAGGGGGCAGGGUAAUACGAAGGGGGCGAGCGGUGUUCGGAAUCACUGGGCGUAAAGCGCACGUAGGCGGAUGUGUCAGUCAGGGGUGAAAUCCCGGAGCUCAACUUCGGAACUGCCUUUGAUACAGCACGGCGUGAGUCCGGAAGAGGUGGGUGGAAUUCCUAGUGUAGAGGUGAAAUUCGUAGAUAUUAGGAAGAACACCGGUGGCGAAGGCGGCCCACUGGUCCGGUACUGACGCUGAGGUGCGAAAGCGUGGGGAGCAAACAGGAUUAGAUACCCGGGUAGUC